rnacentral:rRNA from 1 species
GAUAACGGCCAUACCAGCCUGGGUACGCCCGAUCUCGUCAGAUCUCGGAAGCUAAGCAUGGUCGGGCCUGGUUAGUACUUGGAUGGGAGAUCACCUGGGAAUACCAGGUGCUGUAAGGA